GAUGAACGCUGGCGGCGUGCCUAAUACAUGCAAGUCGAGCGAACGGACGAGAAGCUUGCUUCUCUGAUGUUAGCGGCGGACGGGUGAGUAACACGUGGAUAACCUACCUAUAAGACUGGGAAAAUUUGGGAAACCGGGAGCAAACCCGGGAUAAUAUUUUGAACCGCUGGGUUCAAAGGUAAAGUACGGCUUUGCGGUAACUAUUGGAGGAUUCGCGCCGCAUUAGCUAGUUGGUAAGGUAACGGCUUACCAAGGCAACGAUGGAUAGCCGACCUGAGAGGGUGAUCGGCCACACUGGAACUGAGACACGGUCCAGACUCCUACGGGAGGCAGCAGUAGGGAAUCUUCCGCAAUGGGCGAAAGCCUGACGGAGCAACGCCGCGUGAGUGAUGAAGGUCUUCGGAUCGUAAAACUCUGUUAUUAGGGAAGAACAUAUGUGUAAGUAACUGUGCACAUCUUGACGGUACCUAAUCAGAAAGCCACGGCUAACUACGUG
rnacentral:rRNA from 1 species